rnacentral:rRNA from 1 species
GACGAACGCUGGCGGCGUGCUUAACACAUGCAAGUCGAACGGAAAGGCCCUGCUUUUGUCGGGUGCUCGAGUGGCGAACGGGUGUGUAACACGUGAGUAACCUGCCCUUGACUUUGGGAUAACUUCAGGAAACUGGGGCUAAUACCGGAUAGGAGCUCCUGCUGCAUGGUGGGGGUUGGAAAGUUUCGGCGGUUGGGGAUGGACUCGCGGCUUAUCAGCUUGUUGGUGGGGUAGUGGCUUACCAAGGCUUUGACGGGUAGCCGGCCUGAGAGGGUGACCGGCCACAAUGGGACUGAGAUACGGCCCAGACUGCUACGGGAGGCAGCAGUGGGAAAUAUUGCACAAUGGGCGGAAGCCUGAUGCAGUAACGCCGCGUGCGGGAUGAAGGCCUUCGGGUUGUAAACCGCUUUCGCCUGUGACGAAGCGUGAGUGACGGUAAUGGGUAAAGAAGCACCGGCUAACUACGUG